UACGUAUGGUGCGAGCGUUGUCCGGAUUUACUGGGCGUGAAGGGGGCGCAGGCGGCGCGCCAAGCCCGAUGUGAAAGCCCGGGGCUCAACCCCGGGACUGCAUUGGGAACUGGCGUGCUGGAGUGCCGGAGGGGCAGGCGGAAUUCCUGGUGUAGCGGUGAAAUGCGUAGAUAUCAGGAGGAACACCGGUGGCGAAGGCGGCCUGCUGGACGGAUACUGACGCUGAGGCCCGAAAGCGUGGGGAGCGAACAGG
rnacentral:rRNA from 1 species